rnacentral:tRNA from 1 species
GGGGAUUUAGCUAAACGGCAUAAGCGCCUGCCUUGCAAGCAGGCAGUUGUGAGUUCAAUCCCUG